AGGGUUUGAUUAUGGCUCAGGAUGAACGCUGGCGGCGUGCUUAACACAUGCAAGUCGAACGAAGAUGCCGGAGUGCUUGCACUUUGGCAGACUGAGUGGCGGACGGGUGAGUAACGCGUGGGUAACCUGCCUUAUACAGGGGGAUAACAGCUGGAAACGGCUGCUAAUACCGCAUAAGCGCACAGAGCUGCAUGGCUCGGUGUGAAAAACUCCGGUGGUAUGGGAUGGGCCCGCGUCUGAUUAGGCAGUUGGCGGGGUAACGGCCCACCAAACCGACGAUCAGUAGCCGGCCUGAGAGGGCGACCGGCCACAUUGGGACUGAGACACGGCCCAA
rnacentral:rRNA from 1 species